CUUCUGUUCUCAGCUGCACUGGAGGUUUUGACCCUGCCAAAACACAGGGGAUAUUAUAAUGUGCAUCCUUUCUGUUAAAAGGAAGGUGAUAUUGAAGCUAGGAGUGCAAUGAAAUAUCUGGAGAGAUGGAAAGCUCGAGUUGAAAGGACGCUGUUACAGCCCUUUCUGAAAGUUAUCAGUACAGAAGGGCUGUUUUAAUAUACAGCAGUAGUUUCAGUAAGCAUCAGAUUCCUGACACUGUCAUUAGUCACGCUGCUCCUUCAUUCACAGCAGCAAUAUUUCAGUCUGUUACCAAGCCCUGAUAGACUUUUUCAUUUGAAAUGUUUUCAUAGCAUGAUGGUAAUAAUUUAAAACCUUGCUAAGCAAACAUAGGGAUCUCAGAUUACUUGAGAAAAUUAACAGGUAAAACCUCACUAAUGGUAUUAAAUGCGUGUUUACGAGGGGAACAAAAUAGGUGUCCAUACAAAUAGGAAGCUGGCUUUGCGCAAGUCUCUGGGAAAUCUUAAGCACUGUAUUUUCUCCAAGGCUCCUUCUGCUCAUAUCUGCAGCAUCUCUGCCUCUUUGCUAAGGUCUGGCUGCUGCUGUAAUUGCUAUAGCAGCAACACAAAAUAGUUCUGAAUGUGACCUGAAAGGAAAACCUGAUGAAAAGCAAAGGAAAUUCAGGGAGGUACCACGUCAGUCUGUGUGCUUAAACUUUGAUAGGCCUUUUGGAUGAUUACUACUUACUGUAUUGCAGGAAUGCCUCCUGAAUUUCCUAUUCACGGUUACAUAAGCCUUGUCAACAAUGAUGAAAAGGACACAGGUAAUUCUCUGCUGCUCCAGCAUCCUGGAGAUAACACCCAGUUUUAACGUGAGGAUGGAUAAAGCAUACAAAAAGUGCCUUAAGCCCUGGCAUGGUGCAGCUCUGCUGCAAGGAGCCUCCCUGCGUGCACGCUGUGAUGGGGGCUGGGCUGGGAGGGGGGAGGUUCGGGAAGGUUCUGGAAGGUUCUAGCGCCCUGAGGCGCCUCAGGGACAUGGCGGAACGGAGGGCUGAGCGAACUCCAUGCUGUGAAGUGCUCCUGAUGGCAGAGAAACAUGUUGGGUCGCAGAGGGAACCAGAAGCAGCAAAGCCAGUGGCCAUGAUUUGGAAAGACUUUUCUGAUUCCAUGCCAUCCUGUGGAGGUGUGAGGUGAGUAAGGAAUGGGUACUUGGGUAGAGAAACUUUGAUAACCCCUUCUCUCAAGGUGCCUUGGGUGGGUGACUGAGCAGUUUUGAGGUAGUAGUGCAUUUAUUUUGCUAUUCAUUUCAGCUUAGUACAUGGUUCAGAGAGAGGGACAACAUCAGAAGUGCUGUCCCAGGUAACCUAUCCAGUGAGAUGAGUUCAGAUAAUCAAAGAUGUUAUAUGCUCUCUAUAUAUACUCCAUAGGCUUGGGCCAGAAGGUUUGAAUGCAAGUUGAGAAAUCAGUCAUUCUUCCUACACGUUUCUGGAAGCAUGUCUCAUCUGUAAGCAACUGAUGGAUGCAGCAUCACAAAAAUAAUGCGAUUUCAUUCUUGCCUCAAAAGGCUUCUAAACUGGUGUAAUACCUUUUUGAAAUGUACUAAUGGAACUCAGGCAUUAGGCACGUUAUGCUGGUUAUGUUGUGUUUUGCAAUAUGUUGAAGAUCCAGUAACCUACCAUAACAAAUCUAUUUGAAGUUCAAAAACUUACUCUUUCACAGUGAAGUAUAGCAGGGGAUUUUGUGACCAACUUACAACAGUAGGAUACAACAGUAAUCAGAUUUUGAAUGUCUUUUUCACCUCUCUUCUGUUGUACACAUAGUUGAUAAAUGACCAUUGUAAUAGGAUCUAGUGUCUUAUUCAACCACCCUGCAGACAGGUGAAUUAUUCUUUUUAUUGUGAGAAACUGACCAAGUGUGUGCUUGGAUAUUAGAAAAAUCCAUGUUAAUUAUUCAGAGGAUCAAGUAACAGAAAAUAUGUAGAGCUGUGUGAGAUUUGAUUAUGAAUUGUAUGUCGGUGUUCAGGGUUAGCUCAUGAGCAUUGCACCUUCUUUACCACCUGUAUUCUCUCUUUUGAUUUUCAUUGGUUUAGUGUUCUGGAUGCCUUUGUAAAAUAUUAUUGCAACGUAUGUAGAUCAAGGAUGCUGGUCCUCAGUUCAAGUAUGUAGCUUGAUUUGUUUGUGUUUUUUGUUUUUUU
ensembl:lncRNA